rnacentral:rRNA from 1 species
AUACGGAGGGUGCAAGCGUUGUUCGGAAUCACUGGGCGUAAAGGGCGCGCAGGCGGUUUGGUAAGUCAGAUGUGAAAGCCCACGGCUCAACCGUGGAAGUGCAUUUGAAACUGUCAGACUUGAGUACCAGAGGGGAAAGUGGAAUUCCCGGUGUAGAGGUGAAAUUCGUAGAUAUCGGGAGGAAUACCGGUGGCGAAGGCGACUUUCUGGCUAGAUACUGACGCUGAGGCGCGAAAGCGUGGGGGGCAAACAGGAUUAGAAACCCUUGUAGUCC